rnacentral:rRNA from 1 species
UACGUAGGUGGCAAGCGUUGUCCGGAUUACUGGGCGUAAAGAGCGCGCAGGCGGUCGUGCAAGUCGCGUGUGAAAGCCCCCGGCUCAACUGGGGAGGGUCACGCGAUACUGCUCGACUCGAAGGCAGGAGAGGGAAGUGGAAUUCCCGGUGUAGUGGUGAAAUGCGUAGAUAUCGGGAGGAACACCAGUGGCGAAGGCGACUUCCUGGCCUGUUCUUGACGCUGAGGCGCGAAAGCUAGGGUAGCAAACGGGAUAGAAACCUUGUAGUACC